GCCCCGUAAAGCUGGUAAACGGAGCAACCAGCAUUGGAAUAAAGGUAGCCCGAAAGGGUUGCGCUGAAGACUUGGAUGAGCGCAGGUUCGAUUCCUGCACGGGGUA
rnacentral:tRNA from 1 species